CAGCAGCCACGGUAAUACGAAGGGGGCAAGCGUUAUCCGGAAUUACUGGGUGUAAAGGGAGCGUAGACGGUUAAACAAGUCUGAAGUGAAGUGCCGGGGCUCAACCCCGGAGCUGCUUUGGGAACUGUAGAACUGGAGUGUCGGAGGGGUAAGCGGAAUUCCCAGUGUAGCGGUGAAAUGCGUAGAUAUUGGGAGGAACACCAGUGGCGAAGGCGGCUUUCUGGACUGCAACUGACGCUGAGGCUCGAAAGCCAGGGGAGCGAACGGGAUUAGAUACCCCUGUAGUCCCUGUCUCUUAUAC
rnacentral:rRNA from 1 species